rnacentral:rRNA from 1 species
GGAGUGGCAGACGGGUGAGUAACGCGUGGGAACAUACCCUUUCCUGCGGAAUAGCUCCGGGAAACUGGAAUUAAUACCGCAUACGCCCUACGGGGGAAAGAUUUAUCGGGGAAGGAUUGGCCCGCGUUGGAUUAGCUAGUUGGUGGGGUAAAGGCCUACCAAGGCGACGAUCCAUAGCUGGUCUGAGAGGAUGAUCAGCCACAUUGGGACUGAGACACGGCCCAAACUCCUACGGGAGGCAGCAGUGGGGAAUAUUGGACAAUGGGCGCAAGCCUGAUCCAGCCAUGCCGCGUGAGUGAUGAAGGCCUUAGGGUUGUAAAGCUCUUUCACCGGAGAAGAUAAUGACGGUAUCCGGAGAAGAAGCCCCGGCUAACUUCGUGCCAGCAGCCGCGGUAAUACGAAGGGGGCUAGCGUUGUUCGGAAUUACUGGGCGUAAAGCGCACGUAGGCGGAUAUUUAAGUCAGGGGUGAAAUCCCAGAGCUCAACUCUGGAACUGCCUUUGAUACUGGGUAUCUUGAGUAUGGAAGAGGUAAGUGGAAUUCCGAGUGUAGAGGUGAAAUUC